GAAACUCCCAGUGUCACAUAGAUAGCAAGUGGCCUCACCACGAUUUGAACUGGGGGAGUUGUGCUCUGGAGUCCAAAAUCUUAACUGCUCUGGGAUACUGGGACACUGGAGCAGAAGGAUUUGGGGCAAGUCUGGAGAGGCCCAAGUGCAAUACUGAGACAUCUAGAACAAUAGGAGAGAGGAGAUCAGUUCUUUUGGGGAAGGUCAAAGAUAGAGGACAGGUGUGGAGGCUGGCAGGUCUCAGCUGACUAGAGAGAAGAACUUUCUUAAAAAAGGCAGAGCUGUCGAACAAUGGAGGGCUGCCCUACCCUGAGUGUUGAGUGCCUGGUGGCUGGCAGUCUGCAGGGAAAAUGAUGCCUCUGUGCUGGGCAUGGGGGCAGGGGCUCUUGCUGUGGUAGAGGGCUGUACAUAUGGACUCCAGAGGGCGUAAGUGAUAAUCCUCUCUUCCUUUCUCAGAACCACCUUUCUACAGGCUUUGGUGUCUCAGCGCGGGAGGCACAGAUGGCGAGGUCUGCCUUUGGCCAGGUGUGGGCGCCCAGUGUUGGGGGAGAAGACUGCAGGCACAGAAGACUGAACUCACAGGCAGAAGGAGAAAGUGAAGAGAAGAGAGGGAGAAGGGCCCUGACCGAGGCCACCAGCUUGUGCGAGGUGCUGGAGCCGGGAAGAGGUGCGUUCUUGCUCUCGACAGGAAGUGUCAUUGGCUCUGCAGCAAGUGCCUCUAGGGACAAGGAACUCACUACCUCCUAGAGUGACACAUGCCCAUUCUUUGAACAAGUGUGACUGCCGGGAAAAAGGUGUACUGCGUACAGCUGUCAAGAAUGCAAAUGCCACUGAGUGUUGGGGGCAUGGGCAGCUCCGGAGCCAUCAACCUGGCCAGUCUUCACAGCCUACCCCAGUGGCAGACCCCCUGAAUCCACCCCAGGGCCCCAGUAAGCCCCCGUGAACCUGUGAACUUUGCAUUUCUAUGCUCAACACUCAGGGUGAGCAGUCCAGAAAAAACAACCCAUGCACAGCAGGUGCUGGGGGUAGUCAGGCUUCAAGAUGCCUCCAAAUGGUUCUCAUCUCUGAGUAUUCACACUGAAUGGAACUGACCUAUGUAACUAACAGGAUGUCGUGGGAAUGACAGGCAUGACUUCCAUGGCUAGGUCAUAAAGAGAUUGUGGCUUCUACCUUGCUCUCUCUUGGACCCCAGUUGCUGGAGGAAGCCAUCUGCCAUGUCAAACAGCCUAUGGAGAUGCCCAUGUGGGGAAGAAUGGAGGUCCCCUGCCAACAAUCAGCUUUGACAUGCCAAGCCUGUGAGGGAGCCAUCUGGAAAGGGAGUCUUCCAGCCCCAAUCAGGCCUUCAGAUGACUGCAGCCCUGGCCAGCUCCUUGACUGCAACCUCAUGACAGACCUUGAGCAAGAACUGCUCAGCUAAGCUGCUUCUGAAUUCUUAACCUACAGAAAUGUCUAAUGCUUUAAGAAGCAAAGUAUGGGGUAAUUUACCACAUGCAAUAGAUAACAAAACCAUGUGCAAUAAAUACUGGUUAAACAAGUGAAUG
rnacentral:lncRNA from 1 species